CACGUAGGGCGCAAGCGUUGUCCGGAAUUAUUGGGCGUAAAGAGCUCGUAGGUGGUUUGUUACGUCCGCUGUGAAAUCCUAGGGCUUAACCCUGGGCUUGCAGUGGAUACGGGCAGACUAGAGGUAGGUAGGGGAGAACGGAAUUCCUGGUGUAGCGGUGAAAUGCGCAGAUAUCAGGAGGAACACCGGUGGCGAAGGCGGUUCUCUGGCAAUGUUCUGACGCUGAGGAGCGAAAGUGUGGGGAGCGAACAGG
rnacentral:rRNA from 1 species